UACGGGAGGCAGCAGUGGGGAAUAUUGCACAAUGGGCGAAAGCAUGAUGCAGCAACGCCGCGUGAGUGAUGAAGGCCUUCGGGUUGUAAAGAUCUGUCUUUUGGGACGAUAAUGACGGUACCAAAGGAGGAAGCCACGGCUAACUACGUGCCAGCAGCCGCGGUAAUCCGUAGGUGGCAAGCGUUGUCCGUAUUUACUGGGCGUAAAUGAUGCGUAGGCGGACUUUUAAGUGAGAUGUGAAAACACCGGGCUCAACUUGGGGAGGGCAUUUCAAACUAGAAGUCUAGAGUGCGGGAGAGGAAAGAGGAAUUCCUACCGUAGCGGUGAAAUGAGUAGAGAUUAGGAAGAACACCAGUCGCGAAGGAAACUGUCUGGUCGGUAAGUAA
rnacentral:rRNA from 1 species